rnacentral:rRNA from 1 species
GACGAACGCUGGCGGCGUGCCUAAUACAUGCAAGUGGGACGCAAGAGAACACACUGUGCUUGCACACCGUGUUUUCUUGAGUCGCGAACGGGUGAGUAACGCGUAGGUAACCUUCCUAUUAGCGGGGGAUAACUAUUGGAAACGAUAGCUAAUACCGCAUAAUAUUAAUUAUUGCAUGAUAAUUGAUUGAAAGAUGCAAGCGCAUCACUAGUAGAUGGACCUGCGUUGUAUUAGCUAGUUGGUAAGGUAAGAGCUUACCAAGGCGACGAUACAUAGCCGACCUGAGAGGGUGAUCGGCCACACUGGGACUGAGACACGGCCCAGACUCCUACGGGAGGCAGCAGUAGGGAAUCUUCGGCAAUGGACGAAAGUCUGACCGAGCAACGCCGCGUGAGUGAAGGAGGUUUUCGGAUCGUAAAGCUCUGUUGUAAGUCAAGAACGUGUGUGAGAGUGGAAAGUUCACACAGUGACG